GGCGAGGAAGGACCUCUGAGGGUCAAGGACGAGAUUUGACGGAGAGACUAGGAAAUCCUAAAAUGGCGUUCACACUUUCUGGAGAAGGAGGUAACAUACCCGUUGUGAUACACAUCGUCCAGAACGCUGACCGUGGCGAGAGGAUUUAUCACAUGCGGUGCGACUUAUUUAAGGUAAUAAAAGGUUCCGAGACUGAGAGCCACGUCUUCAUAGAAAGGAUGCCCUGUAAUACUGAAAGGAAGGAGUACUAUUUACCCCGCGCGUCAGUACACCUUCCGC